CGGCCAGCAUCACGUUGAAACACCGUUUCCCAUACGAUCACCGACGUUAAGCAAUGCCGGGCCUGGUCAGUACCUAGAUGGGUAACCACUUGGGAAUACCGGUUGAUGUCAG